CUGCUACACCUCCGCCCUUAACUGGCAUCAGCUGGGUCUAAUUUCCAGUUGUCGGAGCCUAAUUGUGCAGUGGUGGCACCUGCGUUAUUUGGUCUCGUCUUCCCCUCACGGGCGCGCUCACUUGUACCUGGCGUUUACCUGGCGAGGGCUGUGUGUGGCGUGCUUUGUGUGUGUCGUGCUCCGGUUUCUGUACCCAAACUUGGGACUCAUAAGCGGCGUCGGCCGUUCCUGUCGUGUGUAGCUUCGGAGGGGACUUUGAAAAGCGUGGUGUCUGCUCUUCCUCACUGUGAGACGGUGACUGGGUUUGAGCUGUGCGCUGUGCGUUAAGCUCCCUUCGCUCCGCCGAGGCCACAGCUUGUGGCUUCUUCUCCUCCUCUGCGCACUGUGUGGGGCUGCACUCCGCAGCCCGGUGACGUGGGCCGCCAGCUGGGCAUCCCGAAGGCCUCCAGCCCCGGUGCGGCUGCUCCGUUUUCCACUGCUGUUCUGCCAGUUUUCCACAGACUGAUUAAAGCACACUGUAAUGCAG